UACGGAGGGUGCGAGCGUUAAUCGGAAUAACUGGGCGUAAAGGGCACGCAGGCGGUGACUUAAGUGAGGUGUGAAAGCCCCGGGCUUAACCUGGGAAUUGCAUUUCAUACUGGGUCGCUAGAGUACUUUAGGGAGGGGUAGAAUUCCACGUGUAGCGGUGAAAUGCGUAGAGAUGUGGAGGAAUACCGAAGGCGAAGGCAGCCCCUUGGGAAUGUACUGACGCUCAUGUGCGAAAGCGUGGGGAGCAAACAGGAUUAGAUACC
rnacentral:rRNA from 1 species